rnacentral:rRNA from 1 species
UACGGAGGGUGCAAGCGUUACUCGGAAUUACUGGGCGUAAAGCGUGCGCAGGCGGUUUGUUAAGUCUGCUGUGAAAUCCCCGAGCUCAACUUGGGAAUUGCAGUGGAUACUGGCAGGCUGGAGUAUGGUAGAGGAAGGUGGAAUUCCCGGUGUAGCAGUGAAAUGCGUAGAGAUCGGGAGGAACACCAGUGGCGAAGGCGGCCUGCUGGACCAAUACUGACGCUCAUGCACGAAAGCGUGGGGAGCAAACAGG